GACGAACGCUGGCGGCGUGCCUAAUACAUGCAAGUCGAACGCACAGUUUAUACCGUAGCUUGCUACACCAUAGACUGUGAGUUGCGAACGGGUGAGUAACGCGUAGGUAACCUGCCUGGUAGCGGGGGAUAACUAUUGGAAACGAUAGCUAAUACCGCAUAAUAUUAAUUAUUGCAUGAUAAUUAAUUGAAAGGUGCAAUUGCACCACUACCAGAUGGACCUGCGUUGUAUUAGCUAGUAGGUGAGGUAACGGCUCACCUGGGCGACGAUACAUAGCCGACCUGAGAGGGUGAUCGGCCACACUGGGACUGAGACACGGCCCAGACUCCUACGGGAGGCAGCAGUAGGGAAUCUUCGGCAAUGGACGAAAGUCUGACCGAGCAACGCCGCGUGAGUGAAGAAGGUUUUCGGAUCGUAAAGCUCUGUUGUAAGAGAAGAACGGGUGUGAGAGUGGAAAGUUCACACUGUGACGGUAUCUUACCAGAAAGGGACGGCUAACUACGUG
rnacentral:rRNA from 1 species